UUAGUAACUGCGAGUGAAGAGGGAAAAGCUCAAAUUUAAAAUCUGGCAGUGUUUCACUGUCCGAGUUGUAACCUAGAGAAGUGUAACCUGUGCUGGACCGUGUAUAAGUCUCCUGGAAUGGAGCAUCAUAGAGGGUGAGAAUCCCGUCUUUGACAUGGACUACCAGUGCAUUGUGGUUGCGCUCUCAACGAGUCGAGUUGUUUGGGAAUGCAGCUCUAAAUGGGUGGUAAAUUCCAUCUAAAGCUAAAUAUUGGCGAGAGACCGAUAGCGAACAAGUACCGUGAGGGAAAGAUGAAAAGAACUUUGGAAAGAGAGUUAAACAGUAUGUGAAAUUGUUGAAAGGGAAACGUUUGAAGUCAGUCGCGUUGGUUGGGGAUCAGCCUGACAUUGUUGGGUGUACUUCCUGGUUGACGGGCCAACAUCAGUUUUGACUGCCAGAAAAAGGCCAAAGGAAUGUGGCACCUUUGGGUGUGUUAUAGCCCUUGGUCGUAUAUGGUGGUUGGGACUGAGGAAAGCAGCGUGCCGAAAGGCCGGGUUUCGACCACGUUCACGCUGAGGAUGUUGGCAUAAUGGCUUUAAGCGACCCGUCUUGAAACACGGACCAAGGAGUCUAACAUGCGUGCGAGUGUUUGGGUGGAAAACCCUUACGCGUAAUGAAAGUGAAAGUUGAGAUCCCUGUCGCGGGGAGCAUCGACGCCCGGACCAGAACUUUUGGGACGGAUCUGCGGUAGAGCAUGUAUGUUGGGACCCGAAAGAUGGUGAACUAUGCCUGAAUAGGGUGAAGCCAGAGGAAACUCUGGUGGAGGCUCGUAGCGAUUCUGACGUGCAAAUCGAUCGUCAAAUUUGGGUAUAGGGGCGAAAGACUAAUC
rnacentral:rRNA from 1 species